UCUCUUCCCUCCUCCCUUACCCAAGGGCUAUAAAAGAGCUGAGCCAGAGAACUAGAUGAUAUCUACAUCUGGACCUGCUGGCGAAGCUUCGAAGGGACAUGAGCGAGAAGCGAAGCACCUGCUAAGUGCUGUGGAAUAGAUCCAACAUAGCCCCCAGACGGCUCCGCGCUGGAGUAUGAAGGCUAGGAAGUGAGAAGAAACUCCGAGGUGAGCAGACUGUGAGGAAAGUCCCGCCCAGUAAGAGGGAGAGAUGUGCUUAAUUCGGCUCUAAAGCGGAGAGACAAGGUCCUGCCUGCUUGUUUCAGAAAGGGUAUGAGGGAGGGUGGGGGAAGAGGUGGGGGGAUGGUAAAUCAUGGGCGGUGUGGAGUAGAACCUCGCAGUGGAGAGGGUCUAGGGAGGGGCUUCAGGACUGGGGUCCAAACCCAAGCUCAGAGCGCAGCUCUGGGCUGUGCUGGGCUCUCCCAGGAAAAGAGCAGGAUGCUGCACGCACUGGGGUGCUGUCAGGAAAGCAGAGAGUUUCAGCACCAGUGGCCGGACAGCUCCCCGUCUUCGAACUAAUCUGCAGUGAAGCCAGAUUCUCCAGCAAAGAACCCUGUCAGACUGUUCCCAGCUGAAGUAAGCCGAGCGUUUCAGAACCAAGAUUCUGGACACUCUGGAGCCUGGCUGGGCUGUCCCCCUCAGCCCCACCCAUUGGAGCCAGAGGGAGAGAGGAACGAGAACUCCAGUCGUUACUCUCCUCUGUUAAAAGCAGACCCCAGAAGGCUAGCAAUCUCCCCACUCCCCUACCAAUCCAGAGAGCCGAACGCAAAAUAAUUUCCUGGGUCAAUCUGCUCGAUUCAAGACUCGGAUUGCAGGUAAGGAACCAAGAGACUGCCGAGCCUGAGUAGGGGUGAGGGUUAAGUAUGUGAGCUCUCUUAGAUCCCAAGCCCCUCAGCCCUUCCCUAAAGUGUCAAAGCCAUGCUCCUAUAGAGCUAGAACCAGAGCCCUAUUGUCUGAGCAACCAAGCCUGGAAAGCAGGAAUCGUCUAAUAUAACUGGGGGCCCCCACUGCAAGUUGCAGGAGAGAGCAAGUUGGCCUUCGGUCAACUGGAGCAAAAUGGACUGCAAUGCCCAUCAGGCCAUCUUCCUAAUGCCUUUUUAUUUACCUGUUGAACCACAGUUUUGGCCAGAUGGAGAGCAACAUGAUAAUAAGAACACUUGGCCUAGAGUAAUGAAGCUGAUGACUGAAUUAAGAUCCCAUUUAGAUAAAUGACAAUUUCAAAAUAGAACCUUCUAUGCUUCCUUUCACCAUUGACUACUGUGUGACUCUGAGAGGAAUAAAGGGACAGAGGAAAAUGUAAAUGGAAGAGCCAAAAGGUACCUCAGAGAUCCAACUCCUAAAUGACAAAGAAUUUCCUCUGCAAUGUGCCCAUCAAGUGGUUAUCCAGCCUCUGCUUGAAGACUUCUACUUGGAGAAAUCCACUUCUUCCCAAGGCAGCCCAUUCUAUGUUGGUCCCAAUAAAUUAAACCCACGGUUAUUCCUUUUCUAUCUUUAGUCUUCAGGAUCUCUUUAUCUAUUGGUAUCUAGUAUUACCUACCUACAAACAUAAUCAUUUCCCCAUCCUUUAAAAAAAACCCUACUAGAACCUACCAUAUUUCUCAUUUUCACAAUCAAAUCCCUAAAAAUUGUCUCCACUCAUUGUCUCUAUCUCCCUUUCUGUCACUAACUUCUCAACUCUUUGUAAUCAUCUCAUCAAUCAUCAAUCAAAAUUCAAAACUCUCAUCCAUUAGAUUGUGAGCUCCUUGAGAGUAGGGACUCUUAUUUUAUCUAUUUAUGUAUCUCCAGGGCUUAGCAUAUUGCUUGGCAUAUAUUCGGCUCUUAAUAAAUGUUUAUUAACUGA